rnacentral:tRNA from 1 species
UCCCUGAUGGUUCAGUGGCUAGGACUUAACGUUCCCAAUACAGGGGGCCCCGGGUUCAAUCCCUGGUCAGGGAA